rnacentral:snoRNA from 1 species
UAGUGUGGAACUGUCUGCUCCUCAUUCCUGUGGAAGCGGGAAUACAUUCAUACAUGCUCCGUUAAAAAAGGAGUUCUAGGCCAGGCAGACUGCCUCAUGC